rnacentral:rRNA from 1 species
GGCAGCUCGAGUGAUGGCCGAUCUUAUUGGGCCUAAAGCGUCCGUAGCUGGCCUUGCAAGUCCGUCGGGAAAUCCACCCGCUCAACGGGUGGGCGUCCGGCGGAAACUGUGAGGCUUGGGACCGGGAGGCUUGAAGGGUACGUCCGGGGUAGGAGUGAAAUCCUGUAAUCCUGGACGGACCGCCGAUGGGGAAACCACUUCAAGAGAACGGAUCCGACAGUGAGGGACGAAAGCUAGGGUCUCGAACCGG